rnacentral:rRNA from 1 species
CUUUUAUGGAGAGUUUGAUCCUGGCUCAGGAUGAACGCUGGCGGCGUGCCUAAUACAUGCAAGUCGAGCGAACAGAUAAGGA